GCCUCUGUAGCUCAGUGGCAAAGCACUGGUCUUGUCAACCCGGAGUCGUGAGUUCAAUAACAGGAGGCU